GCAUAAGGACCAAAUGAUGACACUAAGGUACACUUUUGGUUGGAAGGUCCAUUCCUAUAUCCUUUUUUCCUCCUAACGGUGGGGAUGGAUUUUGCUUUUUCAAACUUUUGUAUGUGAUUUUCAUCUCUAUACUUAAUGAGACAAAAGGAAAAUGGAAGAUCACUAGCUGUGGAAGGAAGCAGAAAUUCCAAUUCUCUAUCUUUUACCUCAUGAUUUAUUGAUUUCUCUUUUCCUUGGUCAUUUUAAUUUCUUUUGACUAAAUCUUGGACAGCUGAAAGAAGAAAAACCAGAAAAAU
rnacentral:misc_RNA from 1 species